rnacentral:rRNA from 1 species
AGUGAACGCUGGCGGUAGGCCUAACACAUGCAAGUCGAACGGCAGCACAGUAAGAGCUUGCUCUUACGGGUGGCGAGUGGCGGACGGGUGAGGAAUACAUCGGAAUCUACUUUUUCGUGGGGGAUAACGUAGGGAAACUUACGCUAAUACCGCAUACGACCUACGGGUGAAAGCAGGGGAUCUUCGGACCUUGCGCGAUUGAAUGAGCCGAUGUCGGAUUAGCUAGUUGGCGGGGUAAAGGCCCACCAAGGCGACGAUCCGUAGCUGGUCUGGGAGGAUGAUCAGCCACACUGGAACUGAGACACGGUCCAGACUCCUACGGGAGGCAGCAGUGGGGAAUAUUGGACAAUGGGCGCGAGCCUGAUCCAGCCAUACCGCGUGGGUGAAGAAGGCCUUCGGGUUGUAAAGCCCUUUUGUUGGGAAAGAAAAGCAGCAGGUUAAUACCCCGCUGUUCUGACGGUACCCAAAGAAUAAGCACCGGCUAACUUCGUG